UACAGAGGGGGCAAGCGUUGUUCGGAAUUACUGGGCGUAAAGGGCGCGUAGGCGGCCUGCUAAGUCGAACGUGAAAUCCCCGAGCUCAACUCGGGAACUGCGUCCGAUACUGGCAGGCUUGAAUCCGGGAGAGGGAUGCGGAAUUCCUGGUGUAGCGGUGAAAUGCGUAGAUAUCAGGAGGAACACCUGCGGUGUAGACAGCUUACUGGACCACUUCUGACGCUGAGACACGAAAGCGUGGGUAGCAAACAGG
rnacentral:rRNA from 1 species